GGGUACAGAGUUUCUGCUUGGGAUGAUGAAAAAGGUCUAGAAACACUGGUGAUAGUUACUCAACAUCGGGAACGUACGUAAUGCCACGGAGCUGUACGCUGAAAUGGUAAACGCCAGAAAUACGCUCCUGUGGUUGUGCCAGGGGCUGCAAGGGAAGCUGAGAAGUUGCGGUUUGGUUUUGACGCUGGGACCACGGCCUGCGGUUGAGGAGGAAGGGGAGGAGAGGUGUUGGGGAGCCACCUCCAGCAGCGCCUCCCACACACGCCCUCAAGCGGGAGGCGGACAGAGGCUUCCUUCUACCUCUCAAGGUCAUUUCCGAGCCAGCAGUCUUAAUGAAUGAUGCAAAAGGCGAUUCCCACCACAGUGACCAGAAAGCCGUGUUCAAGGUCAGCCCUGCCAAGCAAUGGGAAGCGAGAGAAAUCCGCACCGAUCCCAAUUUACGCUGUGAGUAGGAGACAAGAGUAAGAGAGGAGCCCAGUUAGCUCAAGUGCAGCAGAGAACAAAAACUAGAAAGGAUGGGCCGUCACAGAAGAGAAUUGUUCCUGUCCCGGAACAAAAGGGCAGAUGGAUAAGGCCAGGCGGAGCCCGGGCUCUGCCUCUUAGCAGCUGGGCCCUCACCUGAUCUCUGAGCCGGUGUUUUUCAACCUUAGAAAGAAGGACAAUACCUAUUCGCGGCAUCCGAGAGUGCAAAGGUGACAAUGUCCAAAUUAGUGGGAGUUAGCCAAGUAUUUCACCAGGCCAUCCAAAUAUGUUUCCCUGCUGGCUUUUUUUUUUUUUUUUUUUUUUCCCGUUUGCCUGUUUCCCACCCCAGAAAGACGGCAGAAUAAAAAUCAAAGUCCUCAUCCUCUUGUCAAUCCCUUUUUGGGUGGCUGCCCUUCCGGGUGGCACAGCAGAAUCACUCGGGAGCCCUCCCUCUAGCCCGAGCCAACGGCCCCAGUCCCUGUAGGUGGGGUGUGAACUUGAAGCUGCCACUUCAUAAACCCUCUGAAUGCCCUUGAAGGGAUUCUGCCUUACCCGGAGCCGUCACGUGGUUUCCUUGCAAGGGCCGCUGCCGGCCAAGAAACCCAAGAUUUCUCUUAAGUGGAUCUGGGAAGCCGCUGCUUCAAGUUCAACCUCGCAGAUUCCGUGGGAUCUCACUGAGAUCAGUGGACAUACUUGCCUUCUGGUCUUAAAGCAGCAUUUCAUGAGGGCCUUUACACACUAAUUCAACAGGGAUAGUGGAGAUCCAUGACCUGUAAUUUGCAAGAUCUUUAAUUUACUCUAAUUAUAAGGACACUUCUGAAAUUAAUGUCCAGAUAACCAAAGGCACUAGAUGACUAUGCAGUGCCUCCCCGCAGGGCCUUCCUCCUUACCCUCUUCUCUGUCCCUUCCCAAAACAGUGCUUCAGUUCAGGUGGGUUUGGGUUUUAGGGGUUUUCUUGUUUUUUUUUAUUUUUAUUUUUAUUUUUUUACUACUUUAAGUACUUUAUUUGCUGUGACCUAGUUCUAAAUCCCCUCAUGAAAGUAUCAGCAGAUUUUGGUUAAAUCAGUUUGUUUUGUUUUUUAUAUUUUGCAGAUCUCUUGAGGAUUUUUUUUCCU